rnacentral:rRNA from 1 species
GAGUGAAGCGGCAACAGCUCAAAUUUGAAAUCUGGCUCUGAGUUGUAAUUUGUAGAGGAUACUUUUGAUGCGGUCCUUCCGAGUUCCCUGGAACGGGACGCCAUAGAGGGUGAGAGCCCCGUCUGGUUGGAUGCCAAAUCUCUGUAGUUCCUUCAACGAGUCGAGUAGUUUGGGAAUGCUGCUCUAAAUGGGAGGUAUAUGUCUUCUAAAGCUAAAUACCGGCCAGAGACCGAUAGCGCACAAGUAGAGUGAUCGAAAGAUGAAAAGCACUUUGAAAAGAGAGUUAAAAAGUACGUGAAAUUGUUGAAAGGGAAGCGUUUAUGACCAGACUUGGGCUUGGUAUCAUCUGGGGUUCUCCCCAGUGCACUUUCCAGCCAGGCCAGCAUCAGUUUUCCCCGGGGGAUAAGGCGGCGGGAAUGUGGCUCUGGGAGUGUUAUAGCCCACCGUAUACCCUGGGGGGGACUGAGGUUCGCGCAUCUGCAAGGAUGCUGGCGUAAUGGUCAUCAACGACCCGUCUUGAAACACGGACCAAGGAGUCGUCUUCGUAUGCGAGUGUUCGGGUGUCAAACCCCUACGCGUAAUGAAAGUGAACGCAGGUGAGAGCGGCGCAUCAUCGACCGAUCCUGAUGUUCUCGGAUGGAUUUGAGUAAGAGCAUACGGGGCCGGACCCGAAAGAAGGUGAACUAUGCCUGUAUAGGGUGAAGCCAGAGGAAACUCUGGUGGAGGCUCGCAGCGGUUCUGACGUGCAAAUCGAUCGUCAAAUAUGGGGGUGGGUGCAAAAGGCUAAUCCAACCUUCUAGGAGGAGGGGUCCGCCCCCGUUUCCCUCAGGAUAGCAGUGUUGAAUUAGCCCCUGAGGUAAAAAAAAUGAUUAGGGACUCGGGGGGCAUUUUAUCAUUCCCCAUUUUCAAACUUCAAAGAUGUAAGAAGCUUUGUUCCUGAAUUUUACGUGGGCUUUAAAAUGUAUCAACACUAGUGGGCCUUAACCGUAAGCGGACCUGGCCUUGAGAUAGGAACUUGAUAGGGGGGAAAGGUGCCAGAGACGCUGGUAAAACAC